CUGCUGAAUACUCUAAUCGUUAAGGACAGGGGGAAGACGUUAAAGAAGAAGCCCCAGUCACCAUGCCAACCGGAGUCGCUUUUGUAGAUUUCAUAGCCUUCAAUAUGCCCGCCCUUGACGCCACUGUCAGAAUGUUAAUCAAACAAAAUGUGGGGCUAGACUUCAAGCACUCCAACUUGGAGAUCAGAGAAAUCCAGCACCGAAAAUAUUUGUAAUGAUGCUCCCAGGGAACAUCGUAAGAGAGAUAUGAUCUAACACUUGGAAAGACUAAAAUGGAACCCCCAACAAUAAUAAUAAAAACACUCUUAAUUGUACAAAAUCUGUAAAUUUCUUUAGAAUUAGAACUUGCUCAACUGCAAUCUUUAUUCCUUAAAA